rnacentral:tRNA from 2 species
CGGAAUAUAGCUCAGCUUGGUAGAGCGCUGUCUUCGGGAGGCAGAGGUCGCAGGUUCGAAUCCUGCUAUUCCGACCA